GCACGGCUGAGGGGUCCCAUAAUAGGACGAAACGGCCGUCCAGUGC
rnacentral:hammerhead_ribozyme from 1 species